GGUUUGAUCACAGGAAUGGGGUAGUCACUUAAAUUAUUUUUAUUGCUAAUCUCUUAAUAGCAAAACUUCUCCAGGUAAGUGCUUUUGUGUUUCAUACAUAGAAUAAUUAUUAGGAGAUGAAUUAAAGUUAAUGGACCAAGUUCUCAAACAAUAUUUCACCAUUUCCUUACUGAGAAAAAAAAUAUCCCUGAAUGCUUUUGAGAUAUUGAUUGAAAUAUGGGGAAAAUAUAAACUUUCCACACAUUUUCUAGACACUUAAAAUCAUUAAAUAGAUUUAAGUUUUAUUUUUUUCUGAAAGAAGCGAUAAUAAUUUGUUACAUUUGUUUUGCAUAAACAUAACUUUAUAUAAUUUUAUAUGAUAUUUAUGCAUUAUUCCACUUUGAAUUUUUCUGUCAAAAGAGCUGAAAUAUAGAAGCAUAGUCCAAUGUAAUUUAUUUAGAAAAAAUAAACUUUCUUUCUUUUGAGAGGGAGAUACAAGAGAAGUUUUGGAAAAUGAAAUAAAACCAUAGAUUUGCAGACUAACAAACUGAUUUUUAACUAUGAUUUCUCAGGAUUAUAACAUAGAAUAUUUAUUUUUAUGAUUUCUUAAUACUGACUAUACUGGUUUUAUUUUUUCUUAUGAAAAUUUUAGGAGAAUUCUCUAUGGACUCUGUAUGCAGAAAAGUUUCUGAAGAUUUGAAGUGCAAUUGGAAGCAUGUGGUGAGGAGCCAGAAGACAGAGAAGAUUUGAACCAAGCUGUUACUUCUCUCAUGAAUCAUGAAUGGACAUAAUGUAAAAACUGUAUUCAUCUAGACACCAAUCUUCUUAAUUCCAAACUGAUGAAACAAUAAAUAUUUCUUCAUGCUUCAUUGUAUUUGGUGCUUGGUUUUCUCAAAAAAUAUAAAUUAUAAUGAAAGUUGCAAUUUUAAAGGUCAUGCUUUUCUUUCAAUUUUCUGUUUUACUUUUUAUUAGCUCUUUCACAGCUAAUACACCUAAAAUGUGUUUAAUUAUUUUUAUAAUCAAUACAAGAGUUUAAGUUUCUUUGUAAUUUUACUACUUAGGGUAAUAGGAAUUUUGAAAUAUAGAGUCUGUAGUAGUUCUUUUUCACAGCAAUGAAACAGGGCAUAUAUGUAUUAGUGACAAAGUUAAAAGAACAUAAAUUUUGUUUAUAAAAUUUAGUAUUUUGUUAUUUUUUUUCUUUUAAAAGUCUGUGGAUUAUACCCAUGGUUUUAUUUAUACUGAUAACUUGUUCUGUACCACUGAAUAACACCAUUAGCCCAAUGCAAUAUUUUUGCAACUUGAUUUGAAAGUUUGCCCUUGAGGCAAUUAGGAAUUGGGAUUGUACAAUUAUUGAUUAAACUUAAAUUCUUAUCCUUUUUUUUUAAAUUAGGGAUCCAGUUUGCCUUUUUUAUAAUCAUUAAUUAAUUAGAAAGAACUGGACCAACAGAAAAAUGACAGAAAUUGGGAAAAAUAGAUGGAUGGAUAAGCAAAGAUAUUGCACAGUGCUGCAAUGAAUUCAUAAUGGAAGGACAAAUGCCAAGAACUGGUGCUAAGAAGAAAGACAUAUUUUUUUCUUUGAUGGCUUAAUGAUCAGAAGUAAACUUAAUCAUGGCCAGACCAGCUUCCAGGUUACAGUAGUGCAGACUAUAGAUUAAAAGAAAAGUUUUCUUUUAUGUGGAGAGUAGAAAUCUGUGAUAAGGAAGAUACCUGUGGGGCAGACAUGCCUUUGCACUAGUACCCCAAAUGACAACAGUAUCAUAUUUGCUGCUAAGUCUGAAGAAGAGAAAAAUAAUUGCAUGGCAACCCUUGCUUAUCUUAAUUAAGGAUCAUAUAGCUGAAGGCAAUUUUUUUUGUAGUUCUAUGUAUGCAGUAUUGUAGAAAAGGCUUUAUAGAAUUUGUAUGUUCUAUAAAAUGAUAGGAAACUGGAAUCUUCAGUUGAUUAGUUUUCUCUGUUGUAUUUAAAAUGUUUUUUUUCUAAUUUAUGUAUCAACAAAUUCCUUUACUUUUGGUUUCCUUCUUAGAUUUGAAAUUCCAGAUCCAGAACCUACUGAAGCAGACAAAUUGGCAAUAGAGAAAAGUGAACAGCCAUUCAGUGUUGGACUUCGAAAUAAAUAUGUCCAACCAGGACAACUUAGGUUUUAAUUGAAUAUUACAUUUUCUAUGUGCCAUUAAUGUUCAGUUUAUAGUAAACACAAA